UGAUACAAUGUUUGAAGUAUUGAAUAUAAAGAAAAUAUUUGGAAAGCAGUUUCAGAUCCCAAAUGUUAAAAUAGAGAGAAAACCAGCAUCUUCUACCACCUCAACUUCUGAGGAACACAACCUUCCACCUCUGGUACCUAUUUGUCCCAAGCCAUGGGAAAACAAGUCAACAUCUUCUAGCAGUCAGCAGAUUUACAAUAUCGAUGACAGCCAAAUUGAACUGACUGGAAUAUUACAAGACAAGACAGCAAGAAAAACACUGGAUAUGAAGAAUGAAGAACAGGUACUUCAAAUAGAGCUCAAC